rnacentral:rRNA from 1 species
GACGAACGCUGGCGGCGUGCUUAACACAUGCAAGUCGAACGGUAAGGCCCUUCGGGGUACACGAGUGGCGAACGGGUGAGUAACACGUGGGUGAUCUACCCUGCACUUCGGGAUAAGCCUGGGAAACUGGGCCUAAUACCGGAUAGGACCCUGGGAUGGAUGUCCUGGGGUGGAAAGCUUUUGCGGUGUGGGAUGGGCCCGCGGCCUAUCAGCUUGUUGGUGGGGUGAUGGCCUACCAAGGCGACGACGGGUAGCCGGCCUGGGAGGGUGACCGGCCACACUGGGACUGAGAUACGGCCCAGACUCCUACGGGAGGCAGCAGUGGGGAAUAUUGCACAAUGGGCGCAAGCCUGAUGCAGCGACGCCGCGUGAGGGAUGACGGCCUUCGGGUUGUAAACCUCUUUCAGCACCGACGAAGCGCAAGUGACGGUAGGUGCAGAAGAAGGACCGGCCAACUACGUGCCAGCCGCCGCUGUAA